CCAAACAAACUGCAGUUUUCUUUCAUCAGUAGCCAAAAGCACAUCGUCAUGGUUCGCGCGCUUAAAAUUGCUCUGCUACAAUUGGACGGGUUCCCCACCAAGCAAGACGCCAUUUCAAAUGCCGUUAAUCAGAUCCGGAUUGCGGCUAAGGACAAAGGUGCAAAGCUAAUAAUUUUGCCAGAAUGCUGGAAUUCCACAUACUGCAUUAAAGAAUUUCCACGAAUGGCCGAGCAAAUCCCUAAUGGAGAAACAUCGAAAGCUCUGUCUAAAGUAGCUGGUGAGCUGGGGAUCACUUUAGUAGGUGGAACGUAUCCAGAAAUUGACGGCGGUAAGCUGUACAACACCUGUCCUGUUUGGGGCCCAAAGGGCGAGUUUCUUGGAAAAUAUCGCAAAAUGCAUCUCUUCGAUAUGGACAUACCCGGACAGUGUACCUUCAAGGAAUCUAGUGUUCUAACGCCGGGAAAAGAGUUCCUGACUUUCAACGUGGGCAAUGUGAAGAUUGGGAUUGGAAUCUGCUACGAUCAACGCUUUCCGGAAUUUGCAGCAGUCUAUCGACAACGCAAUUGUGACCUGUUGAUUUUCCCCUCGGCUUUCGAUACGUUUACGGGACCGAUGCACUUUGAACUGAUCGCUCAAGCUCGUGCUCUUGAUAACGGGAUGUUCGUUGCACUUUGUGCUCCAGCGAGAGAUACAACGAAGGAUUAUGUUGCCUACGGCUACUCGACGAUUUCGGAUCCCUGGGGAAGGGUUUUGAGUCGGGCCAAGGAGGGGCCAGAGAUGUUGGUAGUGGAUUUGAAUUUGGAAUUGUGUGAUACGAUCAGACGUCAGAUUCCAACGCAAGAUCAAAAGCGUACCGAUGUGUAUGAAGUGGUGUGCAAGAUAUGAUUUUGACGUGAAUAAAAUGUAUUUUAUUGUGUAUGUAUGAAACUUUUUAAACGUGUUUUAAUAAAAGACUAUAAGCACAAAAA